UACGUACCGUCCAAACGUUAUUCGGAUUUACUGGGCUUAAAGGGUGCGUAGGCGGCUCAGAAAGUAGGGUGUGAAAGCCCUCGGCUUAACCGAGGAAUUGCGCUCUAAACUACUGGGCUUGAGGAACGCAGAGGUAAGCGGAACUUACGGUGGAGCGGUGAAAUGCGUUGAUAUCGUAAGGAACACCAGGAGCCGAAAGCGGCUUACUGGGCGUUUUCUGACGCUGAGGCACGAAAGCUAGGGGAGCGAACGGG
rnacentral:rRNA from 1 species